AACACAUGUUGAAGGCAUAUUCUUAAUAAGUCAUUAUACCUCUCCCAUGCAUCAUAUAAAGUUUCUAAAUCCAUUUGCACAAAGGACGAGAUAUCGUUCCUCAACUU
rnacentral:snoRNA from 1 species